UCGCCGAAAGGGUUAGGUUUCCUGAUCAACGUUAAUCGGAUCAGGGUUAGUCAGGGCUUAAGGAUAAGCCGAAAGGCGAAGCCGAUGGACAAUUGGUUAAUAUUCCAAUACUUGAAUAUACUGCGAUGGAGGGACGAAAUAGUGACAGGCACGCGCACUUACGGAAUAGUGCGUUAAAGGUAGUAGGUUUAAGGCUUGGUUAAUAGCUAAGUUUUGCUGAAAGCUGACAGUACCAGGAGUCUUCGGACGAAUGGAUAGUUGCCGUAAUCAGAUUUCCGAGAAAAACUUCUAAGCUUCAGGUAUAUUCAACCUGUACCGCAAACCGACACAGGUACCCGGGAUGAGAAUUCUAAGGCGCUCGAGUGAUUCAUGACUAAGGAACUAGGCAAAAUAACCCUGUAACUUCGGGAGAAAGGGUUCCCACGUAAGUGGGACGCAGAGAGAUGGUCCAGGCGACUGUUUAACAAAAACACAGGGCUUUGCAAAAUCGUAAGAUGAAGUAUAAGGCCUGACACCUGCCCGGUGCUGGAAGGUUAAGAGGAGAUGUCAACCGUAAGGCGAAGCAUUGAAUUGAAGCCCCAGUAAACGGCGGCCGUAACGAUAACGGUCCUAAGGUAGCGAAAUUCCUUGUCGGGUAAGUUCCGACCUGCACGAAUGGUGUAACGAUCUGGAUACUGUCUCAGUCAUGAGCUCGGUGAAAUUGUAGUAGCGGUGAAGAUGCCGCUUACCCGCAACGGGACGGAAAGACCCCGUGAACCUUUACUGCAACUUUACAUUGAUUUUGGGUAAAUCAUGUGUAGGAUAGGUGGGAGACUACGAAUCGGUGUCGCCAGGCAUCGUGGAGUCGACGUUGAAAUACCACCCUUGAUUUGCUUGGAGUCUAAUCUCGCUUAAGGCGAGAGACAGUGUAUGGUGGGUAGUUUGACUGGGGUGGUCGCCUCCAAAAGAGUAACGGAGGCUUCUAAAGGUACCCUCAGCACGAAUGGUAACCGUGCGUAGAGUGCAUUGGCAUAAGGGUGCUUGACUGUGAGAGAGACAACUCGAGCAGGUACGAAAGUAGAGCAAAGUGAUCCGGUGGUUCCGCAUGGAAGGGCCAUCGCUCAAAGGAUAAAAGGUACUCCGGGGAUAACAGGCUGAUCGCCGCCAAGAGCUCAUAUCGACGCGGCGGUUUGGCACCUCGAUGUCGGCUCGUCACAUCCUGGGGCUGGAGAAGGUCCCAAGGGUUCGGCUGUUCGCCGAUUAAAGUGGCACGCGAGCUGGGUUCAGAACGUCGUGAGACAGUUCGGUCCCUAUCUGUUGUGGGCGUUGGAAAUUUGAGAGGACCUGACUCCAGUACGAGAGGACCGUGUCGGACAUACCUCUGGUGUACCUGUUGUGGCGCCAGCUGCAGCGCAGGGUAGCUACGUAUGGAUGAGAUAAGCGCUGAAAGCAUCUAAGCACGAAGCUCGCCUCAAGAUGAGAUUUCCUUUAAGGGUCGUUGGAGACUACGACGUUGAUAGGCUGCAGGUGUAAAGGUGGUAACAUCAAAGCCGAGCAGUACUAAUUACUC
rnacentral:rRNA from 1 species